GAAAGGGAAAACCCAAAGAUGACAAUAUCUGCUAGAUAAAUUUGGGCUUUUACACCUUUUUAUUUUCCAUCUAGUUUUAAUUCUGGAUUCUAGAGAUUUUCUUGUGCAAGUAUUCAUUUUAUGAAAUGUUUUUGUCUGAUUUUUUAUUAAUGAAACCAACCUAGAAUUUUAUUAGUUCUGGCAGUGACAAUGAAAAUGAUGGUACAAAUGAAUUCCGCCAAUGUAUCUGGGCUAUAGCGGAGAGAGUUGGAAUUUUGGUCGAACAGCACGAUAAAUACGCAAAACUCGAAGCUUCCCACGAACAACUUGUCAAAGAACUGGAAGAAAAGAAAGAACUUGUUAAAACUUUGUACGCAAAGCAUCAACUCGAGAAGCAGGCAAACAAGGAGAAGAUUUCUUUCGGUCGAAUGGAAGUCCACGAGAUUGCUGCGUUUGUUCGCAAUGCAGCUGGGCAUUAUGAGGCGAUCAAUCGGAAUUGCACCAACUACUACCUGUCUGCUGAAUCAGUGGCUUUAUUUGCAGACAAUCCUCUAACCAGAUCUAACUACAUUGUUGGGCAGAUUGUCCACAUUGAACGUCAGACAGCGAAACCGUCACCACCUUCUCCUCAGCUCGAUCAAGGUAGGGCGGAUCAAACAGAUCGUGUGAUCUCCGACAUGGGGACCGAUGGGUUGACCUUGAAUUCAGGUUUAUCUUCGAACCCAUAUGGGUUCCCGGUCGGAUGUGAAUAUUUUAUAGUGACCAUAGCGAUGUUACCGGAUACUGCUAUUCAUUCAUCAGCUUCCUGAUCCCUGAAAACAACAGAGACUGACAUGAUGGAAGAUCCCAAGUGUACAUAUGAAUAACAUGGAAGAACAAUUGUGUUGGGAGGUGAAGUUUUUAAUUUCCUUUUUUUUUUGUACAAAUGAUGAUGGUGGAAUGAGUUUUUAACCCCUCACUUUUUACCCAUCUCUCUGUAAAUAUUUAACAGUUCAGUGUGGAAACUGUGAAUAUUAUUAUUACCACUUAGUCUUUAGUUUGACUCUA